rnacentral:rRNA from 1 species
CCUACGGGGGGCUGCAGUGGGGAAUUUUGGACAAUGGGCGCAAGCCUGAUCCAGCCAUUCCGCGUGAGUGAAGAAGGCCUUCGGGUUGUAAAGCUCUUUCGCAAGGGAAGAAAACUUAUCCUCUAACAUAGGAUGAGGUUGACGGUACCUUGAUAAGAAGCACCGGCUAACUACGUGCCAGCAGCCGCGGUAAUACGUAGGGUACUAGCGUUAAUCGGGAUUCCGGAGCGUGAAUUGUACGUCAGAUGUGAAAUCCCCGAGAUCAACUUGGGAACUGCGUUUGAAACUACAAGACUAGAAUAGGUCAGAGGGGGGUAGAAUUCCACGUGUAGCAGUGAAAUGCGUAGAGAUGUGGAGGAAUAUCAAUGGCGAAGGCAGCCCCCUGGGAUCAUAUUGACGCUCAUGCACGAAAGCGUGGGGAGCAAACAGGAUUAGAUACCCCAGUAGUC